UACGUGGGGUCCAAGCGUUAUCCGGAAUUACUGGGCGUAAAGAGUUGCGUAGGUGGCAGAGUAAGUUGGUAGUGGAAUCCUGGGGCUCAACCCUUUAAACAUUAUCAAAACUGCUCAGCUUGAGGACAAGAGAGGUCACUGGAAUUACUAGUGUAGGAGUGAAAUCCGUAGAUAUUAGUAGGAACACCGAUGGCGUAGGCAGGUGACUGGCUUGUUCCUGACACUAAGGCACGAAAGCGUGGGGAGCGAACGGG
rnacentral:rRNA from 1 species